rnacentral:lncRNA from 1 species
GCUUUAUUUGCCUUGUACAGCAUCAAUUUUCUUACAUUCUCAGUUAAUUGGCCAUUAAAGUGCUGGAAAUUUUCUUAAUCAUGAUAACAUUUAUUAAAAAGAAAUCAGAACUAAUAUCAGGAACAUGGCGGCAUGAAGGAAACAGUUCCCUUACAAAACACAAAAAAUGGAAGCCCCUCAUGUUGAGGGGGUGGGUUGGACAAUUUGCAAACAGAUUCUAAUUUCCUCUCACCGUCAGCACCAAACUGGCUGGGACCACCAUCCCUGGGUGAAAGAAGCAACACUAAAGAACCCUAAAAACACCCACACACCCUGACUACCACCACCUCUGGGCCAUCUGUGGGCGUUUGCUGUUUGAACAGAUCCAGUCUCAGGAAAGAGGAAGACCUGACCUCCGUCUGCAACCCAUCACCCCACCCACCCUUACUAACAAAAGCCCCCAAAGUCAUUACAAUGAAAAAGUGGGUUUCCAUUACCCCAAAACUAACAAUGUUCAGUAAAAAUGAGGAUAAUAAACACAAAAGCUUGCUUAGUAAACAGGAGCUCUCAGCAGUCAAUGCAAAAAAAUAUAUAUAUAUGAAAUCUUAAGGCAAAUACUGUUGACUUUGCACAUGGGCUGGACGAACUUGGAACUCUUUACCUAUCUGUAUAGUUCCAGGAGCCUACAGGCGGUCGGUUUUUCAGCGCUUGCCACCGGGCCAGGCAAGGUCUUUGCAUGAUUGCUGAGGCAGUCGGUGUGUUUCCCUUUGGAGUUUAUAUAGGAACACACCACCCAAGGCUGAUGUUUUGUUAUAUAUAUAUAUAUACACACAUACAAAGGCCUGCUACUCUUUCUUUGUGGAAACUGACAGCUCCACCUCGGGAAGCUGGAUGCCAACCUUAUUCCCACUGUCAUUGCUAGAAGAGGAGGACAGUCGGGACUUCUUAGAGGCCAGGGACACCCCACUCCCCUGUAACUUGCCUGUCUCAUCAUCGCUCCCAGUCACCUCAUAAUGACCUUUGCUCUUUGACCCCAAUCCACCAAAGGUACCGAAUUUCAGCUUCCCGUGUUUCCCUUUAACUUUCCCACCUUCCAGCGACACUUCCCCACCUUCAAACUCCAGCGUCCCCGUCGGGGUGGAAGGUCCAGAGAACUCUCUUUCAUCACUGAAUGAAUUUGAGCGGUGCCGUGGCUUCUUACUUUUAAAUAAGGAGAAUUUUCCUUUCGGUGAAGAGGCUUCGGCCUCUGCCUCUCCUUCCAGAGAGCCCAGGCUGGCCUUUGAACUUUUCAGGUCACCUUUGGACCCAGAAAUGGAUGCUUCUGGUGAGCCAGUGACACCACCUUUCCCUUUAGGUUUGGAAAAAUUAAACUUGGGCAUUUUGAUCUUGGACUUUUUCAGUUUGACUUCAGACUCUUCCCACUCGCCGUCUCCAGCACCAGCUUGGAUGCUGGCCUCUGCUUUAGGGAAGUGAACAUCCACCCCCACUUCUCUGCCAACCAGCUCACGGCCAGAGAAGGUAAAUUUGGGGAUCUUCAUUUUAGGGAAUGUUACUUUUCCAGAUCCACUUUCCAAGUGACCUUGAGGCCCAGACACACUCAGCCCAGGAGCCUGGAGUCCAAUCUGACCUCCUUUCACACCUCCCUCCACCUUUGGUCCUGAGAAAUGAAGGCCCCCCGCAAACUUAGAUGUGUCCAAGUUGAGAGCAGAGGAGACUUGGGGUCCCUUCCACUCACCCCCGGAACCUUUAACACUCAAAUGCCCUUCACCAAGGCUGAUGUCUGGGGCACUGACACCCCCUGAAACAUCCGCACCUCCUUUGAUUUUUGGGCCCUUCAAGUUGAUGCCAAAAUCUGACCCAGGAGAUGCCAUAUUAAAGGAAGGCCCCUUCACACUGAUAUCAGGAGCAGCCCCAUGGAAACCUACUUCUGAACCUUUCAGACCACCUUUGAUUUCAGGCCCAGAAAUCUGCCCAGUUGGGAGUUUCACAUUCACGCCUGGCAGGUUCACAUCACAUCCAGAGGACUUAAUUCCUGGCACCUGGAGGUUUCCUUCUAGGCCUUGAACACUGAUGCCUGGAAGACCUCCUCCGACAGUGGGGCCUUUGAUCUCACCAGUGGCCCCAAGGCUCCCUUUCACUUUUGGUCCUUCCAAGUUAAAGUCCACAUUCGGUGCUGAAAUCUGAGGCCCUUUCAGGUUCACAUCCACACCUGGCCCCUUCAGCUCGCCAGAAACCUGUGGCCCCUUGGCACUGACGUGCGAGUCGGACCCCGGAGUAGAGAUGCCAAAUUGGGGCAGCUUCAUUUUGGGAAGUUUAAUGCUGCCUUCGGAUGCCUCCAAGCUUAGAUCAGGAGCUCCUAUGGAUACUUUAGGGCAUUUGAUGUCACCAGAGACAGCCAGAUCUCCCUGCAGGCUUGGUCCCCUCAGUGUCACAUCUGGUGCCCCAACGUUAAGCUUUGUUGUGGCAUCGAUCCCUGGCACUUUCACACCGUCUCCUCCCACCUGCAUUUUGCCACCGACACCGCUGAGGUUGAGCCCUGGAGCAUGCACCUUCAUGCUGGGAACAGAUGCAUCCAGGUCUCCCUUCAAACUUGGUCCUUUCAAGUUCAGAUCAAGGUCAGGCCCAGAGACUUUUGGCAUAGAGAGGUUCACUGAAGGCAAGUCUACUCCUGGCCCCUUUAGAGAAACAUCGGGCCCUUCGAGCUUAACAUCUGGUCCUCUCAAGUCUCCUUCAAGAGAGGGUAGCUGGGCAUGGACCUCGGCUCCCCCACCCUCCAUUUUCACACCUGGGAUGCCGAUCUUGGGCAUGGAAAACUUGGGGAACUUAAUUUUUGCUUCUGGACCUUGCAGAUCUACAUCUGGUCCUUCCAGUCCCACGCUGGGGACAUCACCCUUUAUCUUUGGUCCUUUCAAGUUUACAUUCACAUCAGGGAUGGAGACUUGAGGGGCAGAAAUGCCGAAGGACGGUGUUUUGACUUUAGCAUCUAGGCCUUCGAUGUUGAUGUCAGGUGCACCCAAGUUUGCCUGCACUUUGGGGCCUUUCAGGUCACCCUCUAUUUUUGGCACUGAGAUGUCCACAUCUGGCAUCUUGACCUUGGGAGCCUUCGCCUUGAUGUCAAGACCUUCGACGUGAAUCGCUGGCGAAGAAAGUUCCAGAUCAGGUGCCUGGAGUUCACCCUCCAGUUUGGGGCUAGGGAGAGGGGCCUCAGCUUUAAAUUUAGGUGAUUUAAUGUCAAACUCUACAUCUGGGAAGUACAUUUUUCCAAACAUCGUUUUCUUGGUUUUGGGCGAUUUCACGUCGACUUUGAGUGCAGCAUCCGGCCCUGCGAUGUUGACAUCUACAUCCGGAGCCUUGAGGCUGGCAUCAAUUUCACCCCCAGGAACAUUCAGGUCAAAUCCCUGUUUUUUGGCCUUAAUUUUAGGACCACUCAUAUGAAUUUUAGGCAUUUUAAACUUACUUUUCUUGCCCUUGCCACCAACACUAAUUUCAGGAGUCUCAAGGUUCAGCUCUGCCUCAGGAACAGUGACAUCCAGUGAAGGUGACUUGAUGUCAGCUUUGGGGCUUUUUGCCCCAAAUCCAAACUUGGGUUUCUUAAAUUUGGGGAUUUUAACAUCUGGCCCUUCGAUGUUAAUAUCUGGGCUGUCCAUGUGUACAUCUAAGCUUGGAGCUUCAACUUUGGGUCCCUUGAGGUCCACUUCACCACCUUCUAACUUCGGACCUGAAAAUCCAAUUUUUGGUGCCUUGAGAUGCAAAUCAACAUCAGGAGCAGUUACUUUAGGAGCAGAUAUCUCCAGCGAUGGCAUCUUCAAAGAUGGGCCACUGAGUUUGGCAUCAGGGCCCUCGAAAUCCAGACGUGGACCUUUAAGAUCUACUUCUGGGCCUUUCAAAGUCCCUUCAACCUUAGGGACAGACACAUCAAAAUCUCCUUUUACUUUGGGUCCUUUCAAAUCCAGGUCAACAUCAGGUAUGGAGAUCUUGGGAGCUUUGAUAUUUAUUUCAGGCAUCUUGAACUUGGGGCCCUUCAGUUUUGCGUCUGGACCUUCGAUAUUCACAUCUGGAACAUCAACGUCCACCUUGGGUCCCGAGACAUCGAUGUCGGCCUUGGGCAGGCUCAUAUCCACAUCUGGACCUUCUCCUUUAAAGCCAGGCAUGCUGAAUUUAGGCAUUUUCACCUUGGGCAUCUUCAGGUGCCAGUCUGGGCCAUGAACAUCCACAUCAGGGGUGUUGAUGUCCACUUUUGGGCCCUUGAUGUCAGCUUCUGGGCCCUUGAGGUCACCUUCCACUUUAGGAAGGGUAACAUCCACAUCGCCCUUCACUUUGGGUCCUUUCAGGUUUAAGUCAAUAUCAGGCAUGGAGAUCUUGGGGGCUUUGAUGUUCAUCUCAGGCAUCUUGAACUUGGGGCCCUUUAGUUUCGCAUCUGGACCUUCAAUAUUCACAUCAGGAACAUCAAUGUCCACCUUGGGUCCUGAGACAUCAAUGUCAGCCUUGGGCAGGUUCAUAUCCACUUCUGGGCACUCUCCUUUGAAGCCAGGCAUGCUGAACUUGGGCAUUUUCACUUUGGGCAUUUUUAGGUGCCAGUCUGGGCCUUGAACGUCCACAUCUGGGACAUCAAUGUCCACUUUGGGGCCCCUGAUGUCAACUUCGGGGCCCUUGAGGUCGCCUUCCACUUUGGGCAGAGAAAUGUCCAUGUCGCCCUUCACCUUUGGACCUUUCAGAUUCAGGUCAACUUCAGGCAUAGAGAUCUUCGGUGCCUUGAGGUGUAAGUCAGGCAUUUUAAAUUUGGGGCCCUUCAGUUUCCCUUCUGGACCAUGAAUGUCAAUAUCAGGAGUGUCAAUGUCCACUUUAGGGCCUUUGACAUCCACUUUGGGACCUUUCAGAUCUCCCUCCAGUUUAGGAACGGAAAUGUCCAUAUCUCCUUUUAUCUUAGGUCCUUUCAAAUUCAAAUCAAUGUCACUCAUGGAGAUUUGUGGGGUUUUGAAAUGUACAUCAGGCAUCUUAAACUUGGGACCUUUGAGCUUCCCUUCAGGACCUUCAAUGUCUACCUCUGGCCCUUUCAGAUCACCUUCCACCUUAGGUAGUGAAACAUCCACAUCACCCUUCACCUUGGGACCUUUCAGGUGCAAAUCAAAGUCAGGCAUAGAGAUUUUGGGAGCUUUGAUGUUCAUCUCAGGCAUCUUAAAUUUGGGCCCCUUCAAUUUUCCUUCUGGACCUUCAAUAUUGACAUCAGGCGUGUCAAUGUCCAAACUGGGGCCUUUUAUGUCAAUUUCAGGGCCCUUGAGAUCACCUUCCACUUUGGGCAGAGAGACAUCCACAUCACCCUUCACUUUGGGACCCUUCAAGUUAAAGUCAAUGUCAGGCAUGGAGAUUUUGGGGGCCUUGAUGUUCAUCUCUGGCAUCUUGAACUUCGGACCCUUGAGUUUUGCAUCUGGACCUUCGAUACUGACAUCAGGGGCAUCAAUGUCCACUUUGGGGCCAGAAAUCUCAAUGUCAGCCUUAGGAAGGGUAACAUCCACAUCUGGGCCCUCUCCUUUGAAUCCUGGCAUGCUGAAUUUGGGCAUUUUCACCUUGGGCAUCUUCAGGUGCCAGUCUGGGCCAUGAACAUCCACAUCAGGGGCAUUGAUGUCCACUUUGGGGCCCUUGAUGUCAACUUCUGGGCCCUUGAGGUCACCUUCCACUUUAGGAAGGGAAACAUCCACAUCACCCUUCACCUUGGGACCUUUCAGAUGCAAAUCAAAGUCAGGCAUGGAGAUCUUGGGGGCUUUGAUGUUCAUCUCAGGCAUCUUGAAUUUAGGGCCCUUUAGUUUCGCAUCUGGACCUUCGAUAUUCACAUCAGGAACAUCAAUGUCCAUCUUGGGUCCUGAGACGUCAAGGUCAGCCUUGGGCAGGUUCACAUCCACAUCUGGGCCCUCUCCUUUGAAGCCAGGCAUGCUGAACUUGGGCAUUUUCACUUUGGGCAUUUUUAAGUGCCAGUCUGGGCCUUGAACGUCCACAUCUGGGACAUCAAUGUCCACUUUGGGGCCCUUGAUGUCCACUUCAGGGCCCUUGAGGUCGCCUUCCACUUUGGGCAGAGAAACGUCCACGUUGCCCUUCAUCUUUGGACCUUUCAGAUUCAGGUCAACUUCAGGCAUAGAGAUCUUUGGUGCCUUGAGGUGCAGGUCAGGCAUUUUAAAUUUGGGGCCCUUCAGUUUCCCUUCUGGACCAUGAAUAUCAAUAUCAGGAGUGUCAAUGUCCACUUUGGGUCCUGAGACAUCAAUGUCAGCUUUGGGCAAAUUAACAUCCACAUCUGGGCCCUCUCCUUUGAAGCCAGGCAUGCUGAACUUGGGCAUUUUCACCUUGGGCAUCUUCAGGUGCCAGUCUGGGCCUUGAACAUCAACAUCUGGAGCAUUAAUGUCCACUUUGGGGCCCUUGAUGUCAACUUCAGGACCCUUGAGGUCACCUUCCAUUUUGGGCAGAGAAACAUCCACAUCGCCCUUGACUUUGGGGCCCUUCAGGUUUAAAUCAAUGUCAGGCAUCGAUAUUUUGGGAGCCUUCAGGUGCAUCUCUGGUAUCUUAAAUUUGGGUCCCUUGAAUUUACCCUCUGGGCCUUCGAUGUUAAUGUCAGGAGUGUCAAUGUCCACUUUGGGGCCCUUGAUGUCCACCUCAGGGCCUUUUAGAUCACCUUCCACUUUGGGCAAAGACACAUCCACAUCACCCUUCGUUUUGGGUCCCUUCAAGUUCAGGUCAAAGUCAGGCAUGGAGAUCUUGGGGGCUUUGAUGUUCAUCUCAGGCAUCUUGAACUUGGGGCCCUUCAGCUUUGCAUCUGGACCUUCAAUAUUCACGUCUGGAACAUCAACGUCUACAUUGGGACCAGAAAUGUCAAUGUCAGCUUUAGGGAGGGUAACAUCGACUUCAGGGCCUUCUCCUUUGAAGCCAGGCAUGCUGAACUUGGGCAUUUUCACUUUGGGCAUCUUCAGAUGCCAGUCUGGACCAUGAACAUCCACAUCUGGGGCAUUGAUGUCCACUUUAGGGCCUUUGAUAUCAACCUCUGGCCCUUUCAGAUCCCCUUCAAGUUUGGGAAGAGAAAUAUCCACAUCACCUUUCACCUUGGGGCCUUUCAAGUUUAAGUCAAUGUCAGGCAUGGAGAUCUUGGGAGCUUUGAUAUUCAUGUCAGGCAUCUUGAAUUUGGGACCUUUCAAGCCUCCCUCCGGACCUUCCACAUUGAGAUCUGGGCCCUCAAUGUUCAUACUUGGGCCCUCUAUGUUGAUGUCUCCUUUUGGUAGAUCCACAGCUACAUCUGGCCCUUCUGCUUUUAAGCCAGGCACACUGAAUUUGGGCAUUUUCAUCUUGGGCAUUUUCAGAUUCCAGUCUGGACCAUGAACAUCCACAUCAGGUGCAUUAAGAUUGACUUCUGGUGCCUUAAUAUCCACUUUGGGGCCUUUAAAGUCACCUUCUAAAUUGGGACCUGCAAUAUCUAAGUCUCCUUUGACUUUGGGACCUUUCAAAUUUAGCUCCACGUCAGGCAUAGAAACUUUGGGAGAUGAAAUACUCAGGAAAGGCAUUUUAAACUUGGAUCCUUUCACUUUUCCUUGGACCUCGACAUCAGGAGCAUUAAUAUCAACUUUUGGACCUGUUAUGUCAAUAUCUGGCUUUUUACCUUUGACAUCCACUUCAGGUGUCUGAACUUUGGAGCCCGAAAAAUUAAAUUUGGGAAGCUUAAAACGAGAUUUCUUUGACUUGCCUUCAAUAUUAAGCUUAGGACCGGAAACGUCCACUUCUGGGCCCUUUAUAUCCAAACUGGGAGCUUUAAUGUCACCUUCCAACUUGGGCCCAGAGACAUCAACAUCUCCCUUAAGCUUUGAGCCUUUCAAAUUCAAGUCAAUUUCUGGCAUGGAGAUCUUGGGCAUGUUUACAUGCAUGUCAGGCAUCUUCAGUUUUGGACCUUUUAAUUUGGCAUCUGGGCCAUGAAUGUCAAUAUCUGGAGCAUCUACAUCUAUCUUUGGGCCUUUUAUGUCAAGAGCAGGUCCUUUCAAAUCACCUUCUACAUUUGGAAGUGAAACAUCCACCUCUCCUUUCAUUUUAGGGCCUUUAAGAUUGAGGUCCAAAUCAGGCAUUGAUAUUUUAGGAGCUUUGAUGUUCAUCUCUGGCAUCUUGAAUUUAGGGCCCUUCAGUUUCGCAUCUGGACCUUCAAUAUUCACAUCUGGAACAUCAACGUCCACCUUGGGUCCUGAGACGUCAAGGUCAGCCUUGGGCAGGUUCACAUCCACUUCUGGACCUUCUCCUUUGAAGCCAGGCAUGCUGAUCUUGGGCAUUUUUAUUUUAGGCAUCUUCAGGUGCCAGUCUGGGCCUCGAACAUCCACAUCUGGGGCAUUAAUAUCCACUUUGGGGCCUUUAAUAUCCACGUCAGGAACUUUCAUGUCACCUUCCACUUUUGGCAGAGACACAUCCAUGUCACCCUUCACUUUGGGACCUUUCAGGUUAAGAUCAAUGUCAGGCAUGGAGAUCUUGGGGGCUUUGAUGUUCAUCUCAGGCAUUUUGAAUUUGGGACCUUUCAACUUUCCCUCUGGGCCUUCGAUAUUCACAUCUGGAACAUCAAUGUCCACCUUGGGUCCUGAGACAUCAAGGUCAGCCUUGGGCAGGUUCACAUCCACAUCUGGGCCCUCUCCUUUGAAGCCAGGCAUGCUGAAUUUGGGCAUUUUCACUUUGGGCAUUUUUAGGUGCCAGUCUGGGCCUUGAACGUCCACAUCCGGGACAUCAAUGUCCACUUUGGGACCCCUGAUGUCAACUUCAGGACCCUUGAGGUCACCCUCCACUUUGGGCAGAGAAACAUCCACAUCGCCCUUCACCUUGGGACCUUUCAGAUGCAAAUCAAAGUCAGGCAUGGGGAUCUUGGGGGCUUUGAUAUUCAUCUCUGGCAUCUUGAACUUAGGCCCUUUCAACUUUCCCUCUGGUCCUUCAAUGUUAACAUCAGGGCCUUCAACAUCCACUUUGGGGCCUGAGACAUCAAUGUCAGCCUUGGGCAGGUUCACAUCCACUUCAGGGCCCUCUGCUUUGAAGCCAGCCAUGCUGAACUUGGGCAUUUUCAUCUUGGGCAUCUUCAGGUGCCAGUCUGGACCCUGAACAUUAACAUCUGGGACAUCAAUGUCCACUUUGGGGCCUUUGAGGUCAACUUCAGGACCUUUCAGAUCUCCCUCUACCUUAGGGCCUGUAACAUCCACAUCUCCUUUUAUUUUUGGACCUGUGAGAUUCAGGUCAAUAUCUGGCAUGGAUAUCUUUGGAGUCUUAAAAUGCAUCUCUGGCAUCUUAAACUUUGGACUUUUCCACUUUCCUUCAGGUCCUUCGAUAUUCACAUCGGGACAUUCAACAUCCACUUUCGGUCCUGUGACAUCAAUGUCAGCCUUGGGCAGGUUCACGUCCACAUCUGGACCUUCUCCUUUGAAGCCAGGCAUGCUGAUCUUGGGCAUUUUUAUCUUGGGCAUCUUUAGGUGCCAGUCUGGGCCAUGAACAUCAACAUCAGGUGCGUCAAUGUCCACUUUUGGGCCCUUGAUGUCAACUUCUGGGCCCUUGAGGUCACCUUCCACUUUAGGAAGGGAAACAUCCACAUCACCCUUCACUUUGGGUCCUUUCAGGUUUAAGUCAAUAUCAGGCAUGGAGAUCUUGGGGGCUUUGAUAUUCAUCUCUGGCAUCUUGAACUUAGGCCCUUUCAACUUUCCCUCUGGUCCUUCAAUGUUAACAUCAGGGCCUUCAAUGUCCACUUUGGGUCCUGAGACAUCAAUGUCAGCCUUGGGCAGCUUCACAUCCACAUCUGGGCCCUCUCCUUUGAAGCCAGGCAUGCUGAACUUUGGCAUUUUCAUCUUGGGCAUCUUCAGGUGCCAGUCGGGGCCUUGAACACCCACAUCUGGGGCAUUAAUAUCCACUUUGGGCCCCUUGAUGUCAACUUCGGGGCCCUUGAGGUCACCUUCCACUUUGGGCAGAGAAACAUCCACAUCGCCCUUCACCUUGGGACCUUUCAGAUGCAAAUCAAAGUCAGGCAUGGAGAUCUUGGGGGCUUUGAUGUUCAUCUCUGGCAUCUUUAACUUAGGCCCUUUCAACUUUUCCUCUGGUCCUUCAAUAUUAACAUCAGGGCCUUCAAUGUCCACCUUGGGUCCUGAGAUGUCAACGUCAGCCUUAGGCAAGUUGACGUCUACUUCAGGGCCCUCUGCUUUGAAGCCAGGCAUGCUGAACUUGGGCAUUUUCAUCUUGGGCAUCUUCAGGUGCCAGUCUGGACCUUGGACAUCGGGGGCAUUUACAUCAACUUUGGGGCCCCUGAUGUUCAUAUCUGGUACUUCAAGUUUACCUUCUACCUCAGGCACAGACACAUCCACAUCCCCCUUGAUUUUGGGUCCUUUGAGAUUUAGGUCAACAUCAGGCAUAGAAAUAUUGGGGGCUUUGAAAUGCAUAUCAGGCAUCUUGAACUUAGGGCCUUUCAAUUUGCCCUCUGGUCCCUCAAUGUCAAUGUCUGGCCCACUGACAUCCACACGUGGCCCUUUAAGGUCCCCUUCCAAUUUGGGAACAUCUACAUCCACCUCUCCUUUUGCCUUGGGGCUCUUCAAGUGUAGAUCGAGGUCUGGCAUAGAGAUUUUGGGAGCUUUAAAGUGCAUAUCUGGCAUCUUGAACUUAGGAGUUUUCCACUUGCCAUUUGGGCCUUCCACAGCUACUUCUGGCAUGUCAGCAUCUAAUUUGGGACCUUUGACAUCCAAUUCUGGACCUUUUAAGUCUCCCUCCAGCUUUGGGGCAGAAACAUCAACAUCUCCUUUGAUUUUGGGUCCCUUUAAAUUGAAAUCAACAUCAGGCAUGGAGAUCUUGGGGGUCUUGAAGUGCAUCUCAGGCAUCUUAAACUUGGGGCCCUUCAGCUUCCCUUCUGGACCUUCAAGGCUCACAUCUGGGACUUCAACGUCCACCUUGGGUCCUGAGACAUCAACGUCAGCCUUGGGCAAGUUCACAUCCACUUCUGGGCCCUCUCCUUUGAAGCCAGGCAUGCUGAACUUGGGCAUUUUCAUCUUAGGCAUCUUCAGGUGCCAGUCUGGGCCAUGAACAUCCACAUCUGGGGCAUCAAUGUCCACUUUGGGCCCUUUGAUGUCAACAUCUGGCACUUUCAUUUCACCUUCUACCUUGGGAACAGACACAUCCAUAUCCCCUUUGACUUUGGGGCCUUUCAAGUUUAAGUUCACAUCAGGCAUGGAGAUCUUGGGGGUCUUGAAGUGCAUCUCAGGCAUCUUAAACUUGGGCCCUUUCAACUUUGCAUCAGGACACUCCAGCUCAACAUCAGGCACCUCCACAUCCACACUGGGGCCUGUUAAAUCUCCCUCCAAUUUUGGCACCGACACAUCCACAUCCCCUUUGACUUUGGGGCCUUUCAAGUGUAAGUCCACAUCAGGCAUGGAGAUCUUGGGGGCCUUGAAGUGCAUCUCAGGCAUCUUAAACUUGGGGCCCUUCAGCUUCCCUUCUGGACCUUCAAGGCUCACAUCUGGGACUUCAACAUCCACCUUGGGUCCUGAGACAACAACAUCAGCCUUGGGCAAGUUCACAUCCACUUCUGGGCCCUCUGCUUUGAAGCCAGGCAUGCUGAACUUGGGCAUUUUCAUCUUGGGCAUCUUCAGGUGCCAGUCUGGGCCAUGAACAUCCACAUCUGGGGCAUCAAUGUCCAUUUUGGGUCCUUUGAUGUCAACAUCUGGCACUUUCAUUUCACCUUCUACCUUGGGCACAGACACAUCCAUAUCCCCUUUGACUUUGGGGCCUUUCAGGUGUAAGUCCACAUCAGGCAUGGAGAUCUUGGGGGUCUUGAAGUGCAUCUCAGGCAUCUUAAACUUGGGCCCUUUCAACUUUGCAUCAGGACACUCCAGAUCAACAUCAGGCACCUCCACACCCACACUGGGGCCUGUUAAAUCUCCCUCCAAUUUUGGCAAAGACACAUCCGCAUCCCCUUUGACUUUGGGGCCUUUCAGGUGUAAGUCCACAUCAGGCAUGGAGAUCUUGGGGGCCUUGAAGUGCAUGUCUGACAUCUUAAAUUUAGGGCCUUUCAACUUUGCAUCAGGACACUCCAGCUCAACAUCAGGCACCUCCACAUCCACAAUGGGGCCUGUUAAAUCUCCCUCCAAUUUUGGCAAAGACACAUCCGCAUCCCCUUUGACUUUGGGGCCUUUCAGGUGUAAGUCCACAUCAGGCAUGGAGAUCUUGGGGGCCUUGAAGUGCAUCUCAGGCAUCUUAAACUUGGGCCCUUUCAACUUUGCAUCAGGACACUCCAGAUCAACAUCAGGCACCUCCGCUUCCACAAAAGGACCUUUGACAUCAACUUGCGGCCCUCUGAGAUCACCUUCCAGUUCCAGCACAGAAGCAUCUAUCUCUCCCUUCAGUUUGGGUCCCUUCAAAUUCAAGUCCACAUCUGGCAUGGAGACCUUGGGAGCUUUUAUAUUCAACUUGGGCAUCUUAAAUUUGGAGCCUUUCAACUUUCCUUCUGGUCCCUCAAUAUCCAAAUCAGGAGCAUCAAUGUCCACACUGGGUCCAGACACAUCAAUGUCAGCCUUUGGCAGAUUCACAUCCACUUCGGGGCCCUCUGCUUUGAAGCCAGGCAUACUGAACUUGGGCAUUUUCAUCUUGGGCAUUUUCAGGUGCCAAUCUGGGCCGUGAACCUCCACAUCUGGGGCAUCAAUGUCCACUUUGGGCCCUUUAAUGUCAACAUCUGGCACUUUCAUUUCACCUUCUACCUUGGGCACAGACACAUCCAUAUCCCCUUUGACUUUGGGGCCUUUCAAGUGUAAGUCCACAUCAGGCAUGGAGAUCUUGGGGGCCUUGAAAUGCAUCUCAGGCAUCUUAAACUUGGGGCCCUUCAACUUCCCUUCUGGACCUUCAAUAUCAAUAUCACCAACAUUCACAUCCAUCUUAGGGGCUUUCACAUCAAUUUCAGGACCCUUCAAGUCUCCUUCCACUUUGGGAAGGGAAACAUCUACAUCAGUUUUCAGUUUAG